CUCGGCUCAUUUUUUGUGUUUUCAGUAGAGACGGGGUUUCACUGUGUUAGCCAGGAUAGUCUUGAUCUCCUGACCUCGUGAUCCUGACCUCGGCCUCCCAAAGUGCUGGGAUUACAGGCGCCAGCCACCGCGCCCGGCAGCAAUAUGAAGUUCUAAAAGCAAGUCUUCAUCAGGAAGUGUCCUUGAUCACCAAAGGCUCGCCCAGGCAUGCUGGCUCUCUUACACUUCCACCUUCCACCAUGGGAUGACGCAGUAAGAAGGCCAUCAGUAGAUGCCAGUCCCUCAACCUUGAACUUUCCAGAUGCAGAACUUUAUGCCUCCAUUUUCCUCUGCUGCAUGGCCCCAGGAGAGAUUUUAAUUAGCUUUCUAACCUUGGUCCAGAUUGCACAUGCAAACGGUAGAGGAUGCAACACCCCCGCUUGUGGAGCUGCCGCUUGUGUCUGGCAUGGUGAGUUCAACAUUUGCUGCAAGUC
rnacentral:sRNA from 1 species